CACAAUGGGGCGCAAGCCUGAUGCAGCGACGCCGCGUGGGGGAUGACGCCUUCGGGUUGUAAACCUCUUUCACCAUCGACGAAGGUCCGGGUUUACUCGGAUUGACGGUAGGGGGGGGAAGAAGCACCGGCCAAGUACGUGCCAGCAGCCGCGGUAAUACGUAGGGUGCGAGCGUUGUCCGGAAUUACUGGGCGUAAAGAGCUCGUAGGUGGUUUGUCGCGUUGUUCGUGAAAACUCACGGCUUAACUGUGAGCGUGCGGGCGAUACGGGCAGACUGGAGUACUGCAGGGGAGACUGGAAUUCCUGGUGUAGCGGUGGAAUGCGCAGAUAUCAGGAGGAACACCGGUGGCGAAGGCGGGUCUCUGGGCAGUAACUGACGCUGAGGAGCGAAAGCGUGGGGAGCGAACAGGAUUAGAUACCCUGGUAGUCCACGCCGUAAACGGUGGGUACUAGGUGUGGGUUUCCUU
rnacentral:rRNA from 1 species